CUCUGUUAUCGUGCUGAAGUUAAGCAUCUGAAAGGACACUUAAUCUGUUUCAACUUGAUCGUGUAGCAGCUCUAACUUGGAAAAGCACUGGGCAGUAUUUGAGUACAGGGAACUAUGGCAGCAGAUGAAUCCUCCCCUCUGUGAAGAAGAUGCAAGCAAGUUUUUGGAAAAAGGAGUAGUCUGAAAACAUUUCAGAUGAAAAAGGGGGGUUAUUCAAGACAUUGGCUGGUACCAUCCUUGUUGAAAUCAACUGUGGAUUGAAGAACAGCUGUCUCUGGAGAUAUCCAUCAACAGUUUCAUUCUCAUCAACUAAAUCACUUCAAGAUAU